rnacentral:piRNA from 1 species
UAGCGGUCCCUGGGGAGUUGUGGGUC